GAACAACUGAGAGAGAUGGGAGGAAGAAGAAAGCUGGAAGAAGGUCUGACCCCAUGACCCACAGGAGCACAUGAUCCCUUUCAACAAUCUAUCCUCAUACAACAAAAAAUUCUUCUUAAGGAUCAACCCAGAUGAGGGCACCAAGUGCACUGCUACUGUGGGUACAAGCUACAAGACGGGAAGAGUCGUCCAAAGAAAGGUGACGAGUAUGUGCUCCAGAGUCACCACCUUCCUCCAACAGCUCACCGAAUUUGAGUGGAUGACAUCAAACUAGUCCAGUAUGGACCCCCCCACCAGAGCAUCUCUGGAUUGGAGGCUCCAUCUUCGCCUCUCUGUCCACCUUCCAGAAGAUGUGGAUCAGCAAGCAACAGUACCAUGGGUCCGGCCUUCACAAAUCCUUCUAGCAGACUGUUCCUCCUUCCAAAGCCCAACAACUUCAGCUUUGUGGUAACAACCACACCACAUUUUUUAUACAUUUGCAAAUACAGGUUAUUUAGUUUUCAGCGGGAGUUAAAAUGUUCAAUUCGUUUUGAGAGUCAAUUCAAAUGGUAACUACGUUGUUCAGACAUGUAUCCGCCUCUGAAUGCUGCCCAGUGUUUUGGCGCAUAUUUAGACAUUGUUUUAGUAUCACUUGUAUGUCAAUUUUCUGUUCUUUUGCACUUUCAGAGUUAAAAAAUAUCUUGUUCCUGAUGUUUUUACCUGAAAAUAAAAAUGUAUUACUUUUGUACAUGGGCUAAAGUCAAUUAUUUGGAAUUUAUUAAAUUCAAUAGAAUUUAUGUAAAAUAUUUAAAAUUGUUUGUACAGCCAAUGCCAAAUAGUGUAAAACAUUGUGAACCACAAUUACAAUAAAACUAUAAUA